AGAGCGAUUCUAUCUGUGGAUUUAGAAAAUGACAUAGUUUUACACAUACAGUAAUAGUCACGGCGGAGAAAGUGAUUCUCUACCAAAUUCAGUGAUCUCAAAGCUAUCAGAAGAUUGGGCCCCUCUUGCCAUUUUAACUUUUUCAGAAUAUCUGGACUGUAAGGCCU